GCGGGCACGAGCUGGAACACGGGAAGGUCUGUCUGAACAUGAGGAAAAACCUCUUUCCCGUGAGGGUGGCCGGGCCCUGGCACGGGCUGCCCAGAGAGGUGUGGGGUCUCCUGCUCUGGAGAUGUUCAAACCCGCCUGGACGCGUCCUGCGCACCCUGCUCGGGGUGACCCUGCUCGAGCGGGGGGUGGACCAGAUCUCCUGAGGUCCCUUCCAACCCCCACCUUUCUGUGAUUCUAUUACAGGAUCAUUUUUAACAUCAGUGGACUUUGGGGCACUACCUGCUCACCUGCCAGCAUUUCCUAGAUACCUACACAGCUAAGCAAACCCCAAAGAACAGCCAGGACCCUUCCUAGCAAUACUGUUACUCUUUAGAAAAUACAGAGCUUCUCUCUUGCACCUCUGUCCUUGAAGUCAGGACCGGAGCAGACUGCCUAACCCCAAGUUCACAGGCAGGACAUCUUCCACAGCCCUUACUGCACGUCACAGCCCAUCCCAGCCGCUCAGCAAAUGUCCCCACACCAUCCCACACUCUCCUCACUUUACCCCGUUUCCUGCUUUGACAAAAGCAUCUGCAAGCGAGCAGAACACGUUUUCCAGCACCACUGGAUUACACGAAGCCUUUCAAGGAGAACCUGCCCCCCGCCACAGGGCUCCAUACCAUUUUUGCAGUGCUCUGCACUGACAGUGCAGACAGCGGGGUAUGGAAAGUCUCCACCUGCUUGCCACUUCAUUUCAUGUACUGCUUUUGCAAGGUAUAAAAGACUGCUUUACCUUCGGGCAAGUGUUCAGGUUAGUGAGAUGGAAGUCUAAACCUAAAUCCCAUUAGCAAAUAAGAGGAUCUACAUACAAAAGGGCCCCAUGUGGCAGCAUGUUCUGCAGCUCUCCCUGCUCCAGGUCUUCAAAGAUACACUAAGAAAAAGGACUACAGCAUCUCACACCAAGACAUUUAUAACACUGCAGUCACUUGUAACUACUGGGAUACACUAAAAAAAAAAAAUAAAAAAUGAAAGAGUCAAAUGGGAGCAGGAGUUCCCCCAACUCUAAACAUGGACUGUUGCUAAUGGAAAUUAAGGUCCACAGCUGCAGGGCUCUGUGCAGGACCCAGCUCCUUCACACUGCCUCCAAUUCAGCAGAUGGAGAGCCAGAGGCGCCAAGCCUUGGACCACAGCUCAGACAGGCAGGGAGGACGCAUUCGGCACCUUUGCCAGCAGCCUCUGUAUGUUUAAUUGGAUUUCAGAGCCCACCUCCAGCUGCCACAUCCCCAGCGCAGGGCUCUGCGCCGCACACCCAGUGCUGCUCCUUGCGGGUCAGUCUGAGAAGGGCUGGGGUUUGGCUCUGCUGCAAGCUUCCCUCGAUCCAAAAAAAUUGUAUCUGUCUCUGUAACUGUCUUUUCCACAUGUAAAGCAGCAAGCAGGGGAGAGCAGGAAGAGGCACCGCAAAGAUGCCGUCGUUCCACACAAGGAUAACCGGCUUGUGGCGGCCAAGCGUUCAUAGCGACAUCGCUUUUUGAUCCUUCGAUGUCGGCUCUUUCUAUCAUUGUGAAGCAGAAUUCACCAAGCGUUGGAUUGUUCACCCACUAACAGGGAACGUGAGCUGGGAUCAGACCAUCGUGAGACAGGUCAGUUUUACCCUACUGAAGAUGUGU
rnacentral:ncRNA from 1 species